ensembl:lncRNA
AUGAGCAAACCGCUAAUUAUCCAUAACGCGAAACGGACAGCACGACUUCACGAGCGACAUCCAUCGAGCAUUACACGGAUGGCAGCAAGUGUUAUCAAGACGCUGAGUAACCUGGGUUUGGCGAAACGCUUCCCUCCCUGCUUCUUUCCGGCUGAGGAUGAGGAGGAGACUGAAGAAGAAUAUGAAGAGGAGCUGAGAGAGGACAGUUUGGAGGAGGACGAGGAUGCAGUAGCCAGUGAGUCUCAAGAGGAAGAGCCAUGGAGUUUUGAUUCAUCCCCCAAUAAUGCUGAGAUGACCAAUCAGCUCCUGCGGUUUGCUGAACUCAUCAGCAGCGAUGUCCAGCGCUACUUCGGCCGAAGCCAGGACCCUGAUGCCUGUGACAUCUAUGCAGAGAGGCCAUGUCCAAAAGUUGGGGGCCGUCAGCGGUACUACGCUGACUUCAUCAAAGUAGCAUCAUCAGGGCAUGUGGAGGAGCCUGAGUUGCUCGGGCCCCUUGCCGAGCUCUUUCAAGACGCUCAAAGGAAAGGACGGAGUUUACCCAUGAACCAACGUCGCCUGCCAAUCAGCUUCUGGACAGAGCCUUUUGCACAUCAGCUUGACGUGUUGGGUGAUGCAAACACACAAGAGAACUCGCUCAGUAUAAUUAACACAUCAGAGGGCUCCAGUAACAUCAACACGUCAUUGAGUAUGUUCAGUAACACGAGCGUUUGCACCAUGACCAGCUCCAGUAUUUCAGGGACUCUCAGUAGCUCAAGCACACCAGACUUCAGUGAUUUACUUGCUCACUGGGCCAUGGACAGAGAAAAUCCCAAUGAAUUCAACUGUGACUAUCCACUUUCAUAAUUAAUCAGUCUGUCUUCUACACUGCAAAAUAUCAUGUUGUUAAUUUGUUCUGAUUUUCUUCUUGUUCUUAAUGUCUGUCUUGUUUUUCAGUAAAAUAUCUGCACAAGACAAAAGUGCAUUUCAUCAUGUUCUGUUUUCAUUUAUUUUAAUUUUAAUAUUUUUAUGUUAUUUUAUUAAUUAACUUUUGUUUUUGUUUUUUUUGUCAGUGCAUUCAGUAUUCAGUUUUUCAAUUUAAAAUACUACUUCUACAACAUUUUCUUGAUCAUUCUUA